rnacentral:rRNA from 1 species
CCUACGGGAGGCAGCAGUGGGGAAUAUUGGACAAUGGGCGCAAGCCUGAUCCAGCAAUGCCGCGUGUGUGAAGAAGGCCUUCGGGUUGUAAAGCACUUUUAUCAGGAGCGAAAUACCACGGGUUAAUACCCUAUGGGGCUGACGGUACCUGAGGAAUAAGCACCGGCUAACUUCGUGCCAGCAGCCGCGGUAAU